rfam:Gossypium raimondii Chr10_contig_1375, whole genome shotgun sequence.
UGUUAAAAAGUUUAUUCAUUUUUAUUAUUAAAAAUUAGCAUGCUGACAAAAUAACCAAACACGCUGACAUAUAGGGAUUAGUUUUUAAGAGUAGAAAUGGAUAAAUUUUUUAACA